rnacentral:rRNA from 1 species
UACGUAGGGGGCUAGCGUUGUCCGGAAUCAUUGGGCGUAAAGCGCGUGUAGGCGGCUCGAUAAGUCUGUUGUGAAAGCCCAGGCUCAACCCUGGAAUGCCGAUGGAUACUGUCGAGCUAGAGUCCGGAAGAGGCGAGUGGAAUUCCUGGUGUACCGGUGAAAUGCGCAGAUAUCUGAAGGAACAUCAGUGGCGAAAGCGACUUCCUGGACCAAUACUGACGCUCAUGUGCGAAAGCGUGGGGAGCAAACAGGG